CAACUUUCAGCAACGGAUCUCUUGGCUCUCGCAUCGAUGAAGAACGCAGCGAAAUGCGAUAAGUAAUGUGAAUUGCAGAAUUCAGUGAAUCAUCGAAUCUUUGAACGCACCUUGCGCCCUUUGGCUAUUCCGAAGGGCAUGCCUGUUUGAGUAUC
rnacentral:rRNA from 1 species